rnacentral:tRNA from 1 species
GGAGAGGUGGCUCAGUGGUUAGAGCACUUGCUGCUCUUGCAGAGGCCCUGGGUUUGGGUCCCAGCACCUUCG